UAGAGUUGAUCAUGGCUCAGGAUGAACGCUGGCGGCGUGCUUAACACAUGCAAGUCGAACGAUGACUUCUGUGCUUGCACAGAAUGAUUAGUGGCGAACGGGUGAGUAACACGUGAGUAACCUGCCCUUGACUUCGGGAUAAGCCUGGGAAACCGGGUCUAAUACCGGAUACGACCUCCUGGCGCAUGCCAUGGGGGUGGAAAGCUUUAUUGCGGUUUUGGAUGGACUCGCGGCCUAUCAGCUUGUUGGUUGGGGUAAUGGCCCACCAAGGCGACGACGGGUAGCCGGCCUGAGAGGGUGACCGGCCACACUGGGACUGAGACACGGCCCAGACUCCUACGGGAGGCAGCAGUGGGGAAUAUUGCACAAUGGGCGAAAGCCUGAUGCAGCGACGCCGCGUGAGGGAUGACGGCCUUCGGGUUGUAAACCUCUUUCAGCAGGGAAGAAGCGAAAGUGACGGUACCUGCAGAAGAAGCGCCGGCUAACUACGUGCCAGCAGCCGCGAUAAUACGUAGGGCGCAAGCGUUAUCCGGAAUUAUUGGGCGUAAAGAGCUCGUAGGCGGUUUGUCGCGUCUGCUGUGAAAGCCCGGGGCUCAACCCCGGGUCUGCAGUGGGUACGGGCAGACUAGAGUGAUGUAGGGGAGACUGGAAUUCCUGGUGUAGCGGUGAAAUGCGCAGAUAUCAGGAGGAACACCGAUGGCGAAGGCAGGUCUCUGGGCAUUAACUGACGCUGAGGAGCGAAAGCAUGGGGAGCGAACAGGAUUAGAUACCCUGGUAGUCC
rnacentral:rRNA from 1 species